AUUUGAGUAAUUUAUAAAUUAAUAUGAAUAAAUUGUGAGAAACUUAGUUAGUUACAUUGUGUAAUUAGUAACUAGCUAUAAUUAGUUACUAAAUACUGAAUUUUUUUGGAUAGGAUUUUUGUUAUGGAUAAAUCAUGGAUGCGUGAGGAGAGAGACACACUGCGAUUUCAAGUAGGGUUCGAUGCAUUUUUAGAGUUUUCCUUAAAGAAUUCUAAAAAUCACGAUCGUAUUCAUUGUUCGUGUGUAGAUUGUUGUAAUGUAUCUAAAGGGAAUAUUACAAUGAUUAAGGACCAUGUGUAUUUACGAGGUUUCAAUAGAAGUUAUACUAAUUGGUAUUACCAUGGCGAACAUUUACCUAAUGAUCCAUAUUCAUUAGGAAAGCGGGGGUAGAUGAUAUCGAGGGUAAUGAUUUCGAUGAUUAUCCAUUGGACUUGCUUAACGAAGCACAGGAGGAAUUUCUUAAUGAUCUUGAGAAAUUCGAUAAUUUUCUUAGUGAUGCUGAUAAACCUCUGUUCGAUGGUUGUAAAAAACUAAGAUUAUCAACAAUGGUAAAGUUUUACAACAUAAAAGCAGAAAAUGGAGUGAACGAUAAAUGUUUUACUCAAUUUUUAGCUGCUUUUAAAGAUAUCUUACCAUUUUCCAACUGCUUCCCGAAAUCUACUUAUGAAGUGAAAAAAAUGUUAAAUUCUAUAGGAUUGAAGUAUGAAAAAAUUCAUGCAUGUCCGAACGAUUGCAUUUUAUAUCGUAAGGAAUAUGCAGACAUGAAUUAUUGCCCAACUUGCGGUUUAUCCCGCCAUAAAGUAAACAAGAGUAAGGAGAAUAGGAAACUUAUCCCCCAAAAAGUGAUGUGGUACAUGCCUUUGAUUCCGCGACUGAAACGAUUAUAUCGUAGUGCAGAACAUUCUAAAAAUUUGAUUUGGCAUGAGACCAAGAGAGUGAAAGAUGGAAAACUCAGACAUCCUGCAGAUUCCCAAGCUUGGAAAAAAGUAAACUACAUAAAUCCUGAAUUCAAAUCUGAACCAAGACACAUUCGUCUCGGUCUGUCUGCAGAUGGAGUAAAUCCACAUAGAUCUCUAAGUAGUUGUCAUAGUUCAUGGCCUGUGUUCCUAGUUAUGUACAAUCUUCCUCCCUGGUUAGUGAUGAAGAGGAAAUUUAACAUGCUUUCUUUAAUGAUAUCAGGCCCACAACAACCUGGACAUAAUAUCGAUGUAUAUUUGGAACCAUUGAUUGACGAUUUAAUAGAAUUGUAUGAGAACGGUGUUCAGGUCUAUGAUGGUUUUAAAAAAGAAUUCUUUAAUCUGAAAGCUGUGUUGUUGUGGACUGUGAGUGAUUUCCCUGCUUAUAGUAAUUUAUCAGGCUUAAGCACAAAAGGUUACGAAGGUUGUCCAUAUUGGAAAAGUCUACUAGUUCGACAUUGUUUGGAUGUCAUGCAUAUUGAAAAAAAUAUGUGUGAGAGUAUUAUUGGUACCUUACUUGAUAUUCCCGGCAAAACUAAGGACGGUCUAAAUAGUCGUUUAGAUCUCGUUGAAAUGGGUAUACGACAAUCUCUGGCACCUGAGAAGAAAGGUGAACGAUUAUAUUUGCCUCCUGCUUGUUUCACUUUGUCCAAAAAAGAGAAAGAAACAGUUUGCAAAUCACUUACAAAUAUGAAAGUACCCGAUGGUUACUCGUCUAACAUCAAAAACUUGGUGAAUGAGACUGAAUUGAAACUAAUGGGUCUGAAAUCACAUGAUUGUCAUGCGUUAAUGCAACAUCUACUUUCAAUUGCCAUUAGAUCAGUCUUGCCAAAAAAUGUUCGAGAGUGUUUGACACAUGUUUGCAUUUUCUUUAAUAGGCUGUGCGGGAAGGAAUUAGAAUUGGAUAAGUUAGAUGCAUUACAUGAACAUGUGGUCAAAACAUUGUGCAACCUGGAAAAGUUUUUUCCGCCAUCUUUUUUCGACAUCAUGAUCCAUUUAAUGGUUCAUCUAGUGAGAGAAGCAAGGCUGUGUGGGCCGGUGUGGGCGAGAUGGAUGUAUCCAUUUGAAAGAAAUAUGAAGGUACGUACUUAAAAGUUAUGUGCGUAACCACUAUCGGCUAGAAGCAUGUAUGGUUGAGUGCUACAUAUCUGAAGAGGCUGUGGAAUUUUGUUCAGAGUACAUGGCUGGAGUUGAGGCAAUAGGAAUUAGCAAACCAAGAACUGACCCAGAUGAUGUUGAUAGAGGGUUAAGGGGUAAAGGGACAAUGGUGACAGUGUCCAAGCUUGAACUAGAUCAAGCUCAAUUAGUCGUGAUGAACAAUAACGCAGAGGUUCAACCAUAUAUAACUGACCAUAUGGAGCUGUUACAAUCAAUGGUUCCAAGAAAUCAAAAAAAUAAACAAAAAUGGGUUGCAGACCAACAUCGUCAAACUUUCAUUGGGUGGUUAAGGAAUACCAUUAUAUCAAAGUUGAACGAACCGAAUCAUGGAGUAUCUGAUGUGUUGAGUCGUAUUGCCCUUGGACCAACUUUUGCGGUUGCAAAGCAUGAAGCGUACAUUGUAAGGGGUAAACGUUUUCAUACAAAGUCAAGAGAUGAUGCUCGAGAGGUUCAAAAUAGUGGUAUACGUAUCGUCGCAGAAACUAUGCACUUUGCAAGUGCAAAAGAUAGAAACCCUGUUUUAGGUACUAUGACGUAUUACGGGGUCAUUGAAGAAAUAUGGGAGCUCAAUUAUUUUGCGUUCUGAAUUCCA